rnacentral:lncRNA from 1 species
UCCUAGCCGGGAAUUGUAGUAAGCUUCCAUUUCAGCAUUUGUUGCAAAGCCAUCAGGCUCUGAAAGAGGAGCGGCCAAGUGCAGUUUGUUGACGUGGCCUGUGGAGUUAUGGCAGACGACACCAGUCCAUUCACAGCAAUCCCCACCUUCAACCCAUGACGAUAGCCUGUUUGAAGGAUCAAUAAGAUGAUGCUUGAAUUUCAAAAGAGCUUCUCUCUCACUCUGAAUGCAAAGUAGGUUGGAAUUGGCAUGACAAAUGGUAAAACAGACAGCGGGAAUGAGAAGAAGAAUAGGGAAAAAGGAAAUAGGAAGAGGAGUAGUCAUGGUUGCAAUUGCCAUGGCUCACAACUCCAAAUAUAUAGAGUAAGCUUUAGCUAAAACACAAAAAUGCAUGAAGCGCAAGGAAGUUUCUUCCAACAAAAUGCAUUAAAUUCGAAAUUUAUUUAUCCACAAAAGGUUAUAAAGUUGAGUCAAACAAAAGUCUACUAAAAGCUAAAGGAGAAAAAAGAGAAGGAAAAGCUAAUGGCAAACACGGAAUUUGAGUAAGAAAAGCAAAAUUUUGAUAAGGAACUUUUAUCUUUAUAUUCCUGUAUCAACAAAACAUAAAGUUUAGAAGCGGGUCAACUUAACCAAGUCUACGGAGUCAGAUAUUUUUCAGUAUAAAUUACACCAAGGUCACACUAAAAUGUGGUUUGUCCUAUUUUGGCCACUUUAAUUUUUUUCUCAAUUUAGUUAUUCUUGUUAAAAUAAUUAUUUAAACUAGUCACUCGCGUUAAUCAAUUUGUCCUGUUAAAAUAUAAACGUAAUUUUUAAUCCACAAUACAAUAAGUGAAUCACAUUCUAUCACUCCCAAAGUAGAAAUCCAACCAUUGUACCUAAAGACUAGAACAUUCACAUCUAAAUUCUCUAUAUUAUUCAUAAUCUAGACAAGCCUCCAUAGAUAUGUCAAUUUCGACUUGCAAACAUAAAAUCUAAAUGAAAACAAAGCAACUCAUUGAUAAUAGCAAUUACAAUCAAACCAAUAGAAGCAACUCCUUGACAAUUUGUUAACUUUGCUAAUGGGGCAUACUCGUGGAUUGCCACAUAGAUGACAUGUCAGCAUUUAAUUAAUUCUAUAAAAUUUAAAAUUUUAUAAAAUUUUUUUAAAAUUAAAAAUCAUUAAAAUAAUAUGUGGAUCAAAUUGAGACCAUUUGUAAACUUUGAGGGUUAAUUUUUAAAAUUAUGGCUAAAUCAAUAUAAUAUGUAAAAAUUAAGGGCUAAAUUUGUUAUUAUCAAUUUUUUAAUUGCUACGUUAUCCUCUCGUAAGAGAUUUAACAACACUUAAUGGAAAUGGACCAAAAAAAAUCUUGUUUAUUUGGAUGACCAAAUUAAAAAAUUGUUAGUAAAAUGAUCAAAACAGAAAAAGGAUAAUAUACAUAUAGCCGUGGUAUAGUUUAUCCUAUAAAUAAAUAAAUAAAUCGUGUAAAAUCUUGUAGGUAUGCACCCAAACUCUUUAAAUAUAGCAAAAUAUCUCAACAUAAGGUUAUUAUUCAAAUCUAUUAGACGUAUAGAAUUUUGGCUUAGCUCCCCAAAAUUCGAAUUGCCUGCAUAUAACGAAUAAUAAAGGUUGAAGCUUUUGCCCUUGCCCAUGCCUUAACCAUGCCAUACAUCCACAUAUAACGAAUUAUACAGGUUGAAGCUUUUGCCCUUGCCCAUGCCUUAACCAUGCCAUACAUCCAUUCUUAUUUAUAUAUGUUCAUUCCUCUUUAGUUAUGGUUGGUUAUCGUUGAUAGUUGCCAUAGAUCCAUUGUUGAGAAAAUGGUGAAAGGCAUGUAGCUUUGAGAUGCCUGUUCUGGUUUCUCCUUUUUGAGUUAAAGAGAGAAGAGAAAAGGAAAAAAAAAGUGUUGGAUUUGUCGAAACUAUUUUUUUGUAAACGGAGGUCGACUUUAAUUUUGUUAAUGAAAACGAACACAGGAGUCGCCGCCAAUUCUUUUUUGUGAGGUGUGAUUGAAUCACCUUGUAAUUUGAUUGUUUUAAAUAAACGGUUUGAUUCACUAAAACAAUAUUUUUCGGUCCACAAAAAUCCAGAAAAUGGGUUUGGGAGUCGGUUACGUACGAGGAAGGGAUUAUCACCCUCGUUACACCCAAAAUUGGUAACUAAUUGAUUACUCAAUGUCUUAAUGUCGAAAGUUGAAAAUUCGAAAAGAAAUUUAAAAUAUGAUCCCUUUUUAUUAAUUUUAUUAAAAAAAUGAUUGAAUAAAUCAAAAAGAGAGUUAAAGACCAACUCGUCUCAAAGUAACGAAAUAUCACAUCCCAUAAGUUAGGACACAAUAUUUGGAGCCUUUGAAAAUAAGCUUGCCUUUAAUUUUUAUUGAAAUUUCGCAUUUUGAAAUUUAAAAGGAUAUUUUACUAUUUAGGUUUAAUGAGAAAAUCGAAACCCCGUAAGGUAGGGUAUGAUUUCUCGAGUUUUCGAAAUGCGAAAUAUUGCCUUUAUUUUCAAAAUUUUCCUUUUUUGAAUUUAGGUAAAAAUUAAUGUAAUGUUUAAAAUGAUAUGUUUAGUUUAUUCGAUUAUGGCAUAAAGACAGUUACAACAUAAAAAAGCGUCUUGGAGUAAUAAUGGCAUUGAUAUUGCUAAAUGAUAAUGUUAAUAUGCAUAAACAAUAAUAAUGAUGAAAACGAUAAUAUAAAUAACAAUAACGAUAAUAACAAUGAUGAUGAUAAUAAUAAUAAUGAUAAUAAUAAUCUAAGUUUUGAAAGUACAUAAAAAGUAAUAAAUAAGUAACAAUAAUAAGGGCAAAAAUAAAAAAAAACAAGCCAAUUAAAAAUAAUAAUAAUAAGUAAGUAAAUAAAUAAAAACUAAUAUAAGUUUGAUUAAAAAUUGAAAAUAAAUAAAUAAAUAAAAUAUUAAAUGAAAUAAUAAAUAAAACCAUUUUUUUAAAUAAUAAAAAAGGUUGAAGUUAAACAGACUAAGGAUUGAAUUGAAACCGAAAUGAAAUUCGAGGUACAAAUUAAAAAUAAUAAAAAUGGACUAACAAGGAUAAAAAUAAAACGCGUUAAAAAUGACAGGGACCAAGUGGCAAAAUAUCCCUUGUCCUUAUGCGUGUCGUUUCUUAAGGGACGAGAAUGAAAUAAAUAAAAAAUUAUCGGGAAAAAUAAAAAAAACAAAAAGGGCUAAAUUGCAACUAGCCGCAAAGGUAGAAGGACCGCACGCGAAAAUAACCCAUGCUCUAGAAAACACGCGGAUUCUCUAGGCAAAUGGGUCGGGUCACAGGUCAGAGGCCAAAACGAAUAACCCAUGCUCUAGAAAACACGCGGAUCCUCUAGGCAAAUGGGUCGGGUUAAUAUGCCACAUCAAUAAUUCGUUAGUGGAUUAACGAAAUUUUUAACACAAUGACUAGUUCGAUUAAUUAUCUUAAUUAAAGUGAUUAAAUUGAAAAAAAAAUAGAGUGGACAAACUCUAUUUUAAAGUGACCUUGAGUGUAAUUUGCCCUUAUACUUUUAUGCGUGUCUAAAAUUACUAUUUUUUUUUUGAGAGAAGAAAUUCAUUAGUGAGAAAGUUACAAAACACAAGCGAACACAAGGAGGAGACAAAUUACUAAACCUGAGCCAAUAGGCACACUCCAUAAACCCGAACUUACUGUCUGUAAUCCUCAUUUAUAUCAACAUAUGGUAUAAUUGCAACAUUCUUUGAAAGAGAUGCAAAGGAAAAAAACAUCUCAUUCCAUGUGGUUUGCAUAUAAGAAAGCUGCCCACACAAGUGGGUUGUCUUGUUGGCACACCUGACUAGUCCAAAAAAAUGACAGAUUUUUAAACUAUCUUUCAGCACUAAACAAUCAUGUAACAAUACACCUAGCUCAGACGCAUCAAUUAUUGGCGGAGUCCAAGCAGUCAUAACAGCCAAACAAUUAGACCCAAUGACCACAUUGUCGAAGAACAGAGCCUUUAGCCAUGACAACGCCUCCCGAAUGGCGUAAGCUACAUCAAUACAGGACUAAAUCUGGCGUACUCAAACCCCGAGAGACAUAACAACAUCCGCAUUAUUGACAUACAAUUAAAAGCAAUCAUACAUCAAAGCACACUUUCAAUAAAUUACACAAGCUUGAAAUGCCCUUGAUUCUUGUAUGAGUACUAAAACUAAACUUGAAGUUUAGAUCAAUUGAUUCAAGUAAUCUCUUUUGAAAAGUGGCAUUUGAUAGAUCUAAGAUCUGAAUCCUAUAUAAUCAACCACAAACACAAAUAAACCAUUUGUAACAAUUAAUUAAUUUUUAAAAUUUAAAAAAUUCUAACAAUUAUUUUUAAAUUUAAAAAUCAAAAUUAUUAAAAAUAUAUGAGGAUCAAAUUGAGACCAUUUGUAAAUUUUGAGGCUUAAUUUUUUAAAGAAUUUAACUAAAUUAAUAUAAUAUGUAAAAGUUGAGAGCUAAACUUGUUAUUAUCGAUUUUUUAAUUGCUACAUCAUCCUUUCUUCAGAGAGUUAACGAUACUUAACGGAAAUUGACUAAAAAAAUAUCUUGAUUGGUUGGGUGAUCAAAUUAAAAAAAUGAUAGAUAAUAAAAAAGUGACAUAUAACCUGUGGUAUAGUUUAGCUUGUAAAUAAAUAAAUCAAUAAAUCAUUAAAUGUUGUAAAAUCUUGCAGGUCUGCCGUCAAACUCUUUAAAUAUUACAAAGAUGAGGUUAUUAUUGAAAUCUAUUAGAGGUUUAGAAUUUUGGCUUAGCUCCCAAAAGUUGGAAUUGCCUGCAUAUAACGAAUAAUAAAGGUAGAAGCUUUUGCCCUUGCCCUAUCUAUGCCAUACAUCCUUUCUUAUUUAUAUAUGUUCAUUUUUCUUUUAACUAUUUGUGGAUGUAUGGUGGGUUAUCAUUGAUAGUUGUCAUACCUCCAUUGUUGAGAAAAUGGUGAAGGACAUGUAGCUUUGAGAUGCCUGUUUUGGAUUAAUUAUAGACAGGUCUCUAAGUUUUUGUCAAAAGUCAAAAGAAAGUGUCACGCGUCAUUAUUCAAGGCUAAUUUGUUACAACAACAAUCCGUUAGUGGGUUAGCGAAAUUUUUAACAGCAGUGACUAGUUCGAACAAUAAUAUUAAUUAGAGUGAGUAAAUUGAUAAAAAAAAUUAUAGUGGCCAUUGGUGUGGGUGGGUCUAAAUUUACUAAUUUUUUGAAAGAAAAAAAAUUCAUUAAUAAAAAAAGGUCACAAAAUAAUAGCAAACACAAAGAGGAGACGUACUACAAAACCGGAGACAAACAAAAUUCUACGAAGAAAGCUCCACUCCCACAUUCUUUAAGACUUUCUAGGUCUUAAAAGCUAAAGGAGAAAAAAAAGAAAGAAAAGGUAAUGGAAAACACGGAAUUUGAAUAAGAAAAGCAAAAUUUUGAAAAUAAAUCAAUUUAUCUUUAAUUCUACUUUAUUUAACUCAUAAACUUUUAUAUAUAAGUUUCCAAGAAAGGAGGAGGAAAAAGAGAAGGAAAAGAAAAUGGAAAGCACGAAAUUUGAGUAAGAAAAGCAAAAGUUUGAUAAGGAAUAGUACUUCAACUUCGAUUGAAAAUAAAUCAAUUUAUCUUUAUAUUCCUAUAUCAACCAAACAUAAUGUUUAGAAGCAGGUCAACUUAACCAGGUCUACGGAGUAAGAUAUUUUUCAGGGUAAAUUACACUAAGGUCACACUAAAAUGCGGUUUGUCCUAUUUUGGUCACUCUAAUUUUUUUUCUCAAUUUAGUUAUUUUCAUUAAAAUAAUUAUUCAAACUAAUCACUCGCGUUAAUCAAUUUGUCCCGUUAAAAUAUAAACGUAAUUUUUAAUCCACAAUACAACAAGCGAAUCACAUUCUAUACUCCCUGUCGAAACCAUUUUUUGAAAACAAAAAUAGAGUUGACUUUUAUUUUGAAAAUUAAAGUUGGUACCUUUGUUAGUCUAACUAUUAAAUCUAUGUUUAAACAAGGCUUAACUUAUAAGUUGGCAUCUAAACAUAUUUUUGCUCUUAAGUGGUACUUAAACUAUUCUUCUCUUACCCAUUUUACACCAAAAUGUUAUACCCAUUCAAUAAAAUUCCAGCUAAUAAUAAUCUGCCAUGUCAUAUAACUUAAUAUAUAUAUAUUUAAAAUUUUUACUUUUUUCUUUUACAUUUUUCUCUCUUUUUAUUUUUUUCCCCAUUCCCAUUCCCUUUUUCUUCUUCUUCUUAUUCUUCUUUUAUAAUGAAUGACAAUACUAGCGAUGCUCAAAAUUCACUCUCUCAAAGUUGAGAUGCUGUCAAUUGAUUAUAUUUUCAAAUUUCACCGCUUGCUUGUUCGAUUUGAUGAGACCAAAAAAGUUGUUUCAUCGACCAAAUCCCUUGUUUUCAAAACUAGAUAAUUGACCGGUUGGACUGGGAAUUUGUCGGGGUACUGGUUCUGAGAUAAUGGUUGAUGGAUUGACUUGCAAAAUUUUGAUAUCACUUGUGACAAAAAAUAAGUUCAAAUACCAAGAUGAGAAAAUUUUAAUUUAGGUACCAGUUUGUGGAUCAAGCCUAAAUUUUAUAAUCUCAUUUUGAAUAUCCUCUUGCUCUAUCCUUUUUCUUUUCCUUCCUACAUGUCAUGAGAUUUAUAAAAUCAUUUGAAAAAUUCGAAAUUAUUUUUUUCAUUCAAAAAUUCCAAAAAAACAUUAACAUUUGAAAAUGGUGCAUUCUGGUUUUUUUUUUAAAUUUAAAAAAUUUUCCAUCUAAAACAACAUAAGAGUCCAACAUUUUCAAUGAAAAUAAUUGAAAAAAAUGUCAUUUAAUCUUAAAUUAUCAUUAUAAAAUAUUUGAUUAAUAGUAAAAAUGUAGUUUAACAAAAACCAUUAAAUUCAGUGAUAAGAUUUUUUAGAAUAAAAUAAUGUUGUUCUACAUUGGCUUUAUGAAUAAUUGCUCUACAUUACUCGACGUUCCUACACUAUAAAUUUUAAUUUAAUAUUAUAUAGUAUAUCAAUUUAUUUAUUAACAUCAUUUUAGUAUUCAUUUCUACAUGAUUUAGUUGAAUCCAAUCAAAUGUUCAUUAGCCAUAGAUUGGUCUCUAUAAAUGGACUGUAGAAUCUUUAAAAUAUGAGCACAAUAACUAGUCAAAGAUUCUGUUGUAUAAAUUUGCCAACUCAAAUAUGAAAAGUAUGUUUACUACCUUAGCGGCUGUUUGUAAUAGGCACUAUUGAGUGCCAAUCAUCACAGAAGCACGCAACUUGUCUCAACAAAUAGUUUUAAUUAAGAAAAUGAAUUUUCAAGUAAUUAGUUUAAGAGUAUGUAAUGAAUUUAAUUUGUUUUAUAAAAGAUUUAAAUGAUAUAAUUAACUCUAUAUUAAAAAAAAUAACUUUAGCUUUUCCGUGCUUUUAUCAAUUGAGUUGGUGUCACUUGACUUAUGAUACUAAACUUAAUCAAACAUGUUAUUAUAGUAUAAAUAAUUAUCUUGUGACCAUAUACAUAUCUAUAUAUGAAAUAGUGAUCGUAUACAUAUAUAUGCACAUGAAGAACUUAAUUUUUAAAUCUAUCACUCAUCCGUUCAUUCUCUCUCUUAUAAUUGUCUUUUUACAUUAUAUUUUAAUAAUAUAUAAUGUGAUCAUAAAUUAAACCCUUAAUUGUAGGCUAAAUUAGCCAUAUAUGCCAAAAAAGUUUGUUAAUUGACUAAAUAGGUCAUUUUUUUUGAAAAUAUAGAGAAAUCGACCAUUUUUGGAUAGAGUGUGUGAAAGCUCGAUCAGCUGGGCGAGCUUUCUACUGACAUGUUAGGGAAAGUGCGCCAAGUAGAAAAUGUUUUUUGAAAAUUUCAAUGAAAAUGCGUCUAACUAGGCACAUUUUCCCUGACAUGUCAGCAGAAAAAUUCGCCUAGCUAGACAAGCUUUCUUGCCACUUCUGCAAAAAGCAUGUCUAGCUAGUGGAGCUUUCAUACACUCCCUCCAAAAAUGACUUAUUUCCCUAAAUUUUCAAAAAAUCGACUUUUAUGACCAAUUUAAUCAAAAUUUUUUUAUCAUUUUUGGAGGUGCCAAAGUGUAAUUUUACUAUUAGUAAUUUAAAUUUUAUAAACUAUAAAGGGGCCUAAAUGGAAAAUUUUUCAUUUUAAGGGGGCCGAAGCCCCUGCCAGCGCCUUGGCUCCGGCCCUAGUGCCACGUGUCAUAAUUCAAUUGGCUAAUGUGUCACAAUAGUAAUCUAUUAAUGGAUUAAUAGAAUUUUUAACGACAUUGACUAGUUCAAACAUUAAUAACAUUAAUUAGAGUGACUAAAUUGAGAAAAAAAUUAGCUAGAGUGACCAAAAUAGGACAAACUUAUUUUAUAGUGACCUUGGGUGUAGUUUACCCUUAUGCUUUUAUACGUGUCUAAAAUUACUAUUUUUCUAGAGAAGAAAUUAAUUAAUGAGAAAAGAAAAAAGCAAAAGUGAACACAAAGAGGAGACGGACUACUAAACCCAAGCCAACAGGCUUACCCCAUACACCCAAAUCUACCAUCCGCAAUUUGCAUUCGUAUAAACAUAAAACAUAAUUUCAACAUUCUUCAAGAAAGAUGCAAGGGAAAAAAAAUCCUAUUAUGUGUGGUUUGCAUAUAACAAAACCGCUAAUGCAAGCGAGUGGGCCGCUUUGUUGGCACACCAAGCGAGUUGACAGACGCAAAAACUAAUCUUUUAUCAUCAAACAAUCAUGUAGCAACACACCUAGCUCAGAUGCAUCAGUUAUACAUGCUUUUUUCCUACCAAACUACAUACCCAUAGUAGCCCAAAACACAAUAGAGUUUACCACAGAUAUGGUCUAGCUUUCGAUUGUUUGCAAUCCUCCAAGACCUAAUGAAAAACACGGGAGCCACUACACCCCAAAAUCCCAAUACAAAACCAGGAACUAUGCUGACAUAAAGCCAAUUCACUUUACUUCCUUCCCUGCUACUUCCAUUAUUUGAAACGUCAAUUGGAAUACCUUUUGAGGUGCAGUUCUUAGUGAGAGGAGGUCCCCAAAGUUUUCAAUGCCAUUAUUUCUCGACAUGAGCGGCUUGGAUGUUGUAGACAUAAAGUUUAACACCUUCUUUCACUGCGCAAGCUAUGGAACCAACUCCCAUAUCAAAGCAAUCCCACAAUGAAAAUUGCCCUGUUUGGGAUAACACCACUUUCUCUUCCCCAGCUAGUUUCCUGCACUUAUCAGAUAUAAUAUGAAAGAAAUGAAAAAGAAAAAUUUUAAAAACCAUACAUAGUACGUACCUACAUACAUAGGUAAAAGUACCAUAGAGCCUCUAUAUCAAAAAAAUGGACAAAUUAAUCCCAGUACAAUAGAUCAAAGAGUAAGCCGAUUCUUUCUAUUAAAAAUUUCAUCAAUUUUUACUAUUAAAAAUUAACGUAGUUGAUGAAACAACUAGACAAUUACAUGCACGUAAAAGCUAAGAAAAAAAAGCUAGAUAAAGUAAAUUCAAACAAGGAUGAAAGUUUUUUGCUAGCUCAUGAUGCUUCAACUUGAUUUUUAUGUAUAUAUACUCGCUCAAAAUCGAAUUUUAUUCAAUACUUUAGCUUUCUAUUUCGACCAUAACCCUUAAAAGAUUUAUCUAAUCCCAUGACCAUUCAUAUGAAAUUUUACAUAAUGUUUUAUAUUAUAUUAGCUUUUACAAAAUUAAUCCCAUUUAUAUGUUACAAAAUUAUAAAAAGUGACAUUUUAAUAAAUAAAUCUGAGCGAAACAGAAAUUGAUUCUAAAACUUUUAAUGAAAAACUCGGUUCACCUUGCUUCAAACUCAAUUUUUAAAAACAAAAAACCACCCUAUAUGGCUGGGGUGGAUGGAAUCUCGAUAACUUGAAAGGAUUUUUGUCAGGUAUGUAUUUCAUACGAGUAUAUUAAAACUUUUAUAAAUUGUUUCAUUUAUUUUUGAAAGAUUUUAUGCGCUCAUUCUCAUAUUUGAAUGUUCCGAAUCCAAAUAUAUACUUUAAAAUAAAAAAUAUAAAUAACUCUAAAUAGGUAUGCCAAUUUGAUCCAAAAAAGUUAACAAAGAAGAGAGAACAAUCAAGUACAUUAAAUUUUACAAACUUGAAAUUAACUUGGAGAUUUAAAUUUUCCAGACCAAAUGCAAAAACGAGGACGUUUUGUGGUUGUCACCUGUCUUACUGAGAAGGGUGAGUCCAAGGAUGAAGAACAACGGCUGAACUCUUUUUUUGUUGAGAUCCAUUGGCAACAGUUAGAAAAUGACAGAAAAAAAAUAGGCUAAUCCUAUUUACUACUAUUUUUGUUACUCCUAAUUUGAAGGAUCAAGGAGGAAGAAGACCAGAUCUAUGGCUGCAACGUCUACUCAAUUAUUAAGCUAAGCAACUGAUGGAAUUUAUCAAACAACAUUUUUUGCUGAAAAUUAUUUUCAUUGUAAAUUAUUGAAAUACAACAAAACCUAUUCAUACAUAAUCAAAACACACUUUGAUCCAAUCUCCAGUAAAUUAUACCAACAUGUUUAGACAUGUUUUUUUCCCAUCAAACUACAUACCCAUAGUAGCCCAAGAUACAUACAGCUUUCGACCAACAUGGUCCAACUUUCGAUAGUAUGCAUGCCUCCAAGACCUGAUGAAAAACAAGGGAGCCACUACAACCCAAAAUCCCAUUACAAAGCCGAGAACUAUGCUGACAUAAAGCCAAUUCACUUUACUUCCUUCCCUGCUCCUUCCAUUAUUUGCAACGUCGACAAUUGGAUUACCUUUUGAGGUGCAGUUCUUAGUGAGAGGAAGUCCGCAAAGAUGAUUGCCCACGUAAGACAAGUUUUCAAAGCUUUGAAGCUGAGUGCUUGUUGGGAUUUGUCCUGUCAAGUUGUUGUAGGACACAUUGAAGUGAUUCAAGAAAUUCAAAUUGGAGAAACUUGGAGGGAUUUCCCCAUUUAGUCGAUUCAUGGACAAAUCAAGAGAUUCUGAUGAAGUUGGCUCAGCAUGCAGCAAACUCGAUAGCAUGCAGGCCAUCAAGACCAAGUCAUGCAAGAGCUGCUGGAACGAGCUGAACUAUUCCUAUUUUGUUCAACUUGUAAUCUUAAGUUAAUGUAAUGUACUUUAGUUCAUUUAGAACUAUGUUAGGUUUAUGAUUGAUGUAUUUUGAUGACAAUUAAGCUGUUAAGUCAGCUUUGUUUAAGUGUGCAAGCUUAGUUUUUCAAGUUUCAAUGUAUUAGUUGUAGUAGGUGAUGAUUAGGUAUCAUUAUGCAGAUUUUGACAAGCAAAUUGCUUGGUUUAUGUAUUGGCAUUAUGCCAUUGUUCAGAAUAUGAAUAGAAUCAGUUUUUGUUCAUCAAUUUCCUCUCCAUUUUCUUAGCUUUUUCUUUCUUUCUUUAACUCGAAAUUGUUUGUUUGCUCAGCAAGUUUUAAGGCUUGCUCGACAAGAUACUUGCUGAGUCUGCUUGAUUCUGAUUCUUGCACCAACAAUUGGUAUCUAGAGCCUAUUUCUUAAGGGAUCUGUUACUCAAUUCCAUGGCUUCAUCAAGCUUUUCACCAGCUGCACCUCAAGUCUUCAAUGGAGAAGGCUAUCACAUAUGGGUGGUCAAAAUGAAGACCUACCUGCAGGCGUUCGAUCUGUGGGAGGUGGUCAACUUUGAUGUUGAACCAGAGCCACUUAGAGCUAAUCCAACAGUGGCUCAGAUCAGGCAGCAUGCUGAUGAAAGGACCAAGAGGCACAAAGCUAUGUCCUGCAUCCAAAACUCAGUGUCUGAUGUGAUUUUCACAAGGAUUAUGGCCUGUGAAUCACCAAAACAGGCCUGGGAUAAGUUGCAGGAAGAGUUUCAAGGGACAGAGAGGACAAGGCAGCAACAGUUGUUAAACUUGAGGAGAGAUUUCGAGAAUUUGAAGAUGAAGGAAGAAGAAACUGUCAAGCAAUAUUCUGACAGGAUUAUGGCUGUGGUUAACAGCAUCAGGCUCCUUGGAGAGCAGUUCAAUGAAGCUAGGAUAGUGGAGAAGGUUAUAGCAACUCUGCCUGAGAGGUAUGAGGCAAAAAUCUCAUCUCUCGAGGACUCAAGGGAUCUAUCCACCAUCUCCCUGACAGAGUUGAUCAAUGCUCUAUAUGCUCAAGAGCAGAGGAGAGCAAGCAGACUGGAGGAGCACCAAGAAGGUGCCUUUCAGGCAAGAGCAAAUACUGCCUACAAAGGCAAGAAGGCCUGGAGAGACAAGCCAAAGAAUGAUGCUGCAAGGAGAGAAGGCCAGACUUGCAAGCACUGUAGAAAGGCUGGUCAUUCAGAAGAAAAAUGCUGGUUCAAUCCAGAUGCUGUGUGUCAGCAUUGUAAGAAGAAGGGUCAUGUUGAGAGAGUCUGCAAGAGUAAGACCAAAUCGAGGCAGAAUCAGUUUCAACAGAUGAAAGCUGAGGCUCGAGUAGCUAAGGAGGACAGUGACCAAGAGGAGCAAGUCUUUGCUGUGUCAUGCUCAGCUGCUCAGGAAAGGUCCUCAUCUGGUUGGCUCCUAGACAGUGGAUGCACCAACCACAUGACACCUGAUGCUGCAAUCUUCAAGUCUUUAGACAGAAGCUGCAGAACUAAAGUCAAGAUAGGAAAUGGUCAUUUUAUCCAAGCUGAAGGCAAGGGUGAUGUGCUGAUAUGCACACUUACAGGUACCAAAGUGAUUUCAAAUGUGCUGUUGGUGCCUGAAAUUGACAGAAACCUGCUCAGCAUAGCUCAGUUGCUGGAAAAAGGUUAUUCAGUUGUGUUUAAAGACCACCAGUGCCAAAUCAGUGAUCCAAGUGGAUCCAAACUGAUGGCAGUCCCUAUGGCUGAUAAGAGCUUUGUGGUUGACUGGACAAAAAGGUCAGACAUUGCCUACACAGCCACUUCAGAUGAAUCCAAGCUGUGGCAUCAAAGAUUGGGACAUGCCAACUUCAGAUCGAUGGCUCGUAUGGUCAGAGAGGACCUGGCUGAAAAUUUCAUCAACUCAGUUGACCAUGAUGAUGUAUGUGAUGUAUGUCAGCUAGGAAAGCAGGCCAGACUCCCAUUUCCCUCGAAUCAAGCCUGGAGAGCCUCUGAAAAACUCCAACUGGUGCAUACUGAUGUGUGUGGCCCUAUGAAGACUGAGUCAUUAAGUGGAAACAGGUAUUUCAUACUGUUUAUUGAUGAUUUCUCGAGAUAUUGCUGGAUUUACUUUUUAAAACAGAAAUCUGAAGUGGCCUCAGUGUUUUGGAAGUUCAAGACUGCUUCUGAGACUGAAACAGGCUGCAAGCUGAAGACCAUAAGGUCUGAUAAUGGGACUGAGUACACCUCAGCUCAGUUCCAAGCCUUCUGUGAUAAGGCAGGCAUCAAACAUCAACUUACCAACACAUAUACACCUCAGCAGAAUGGGGUAAGUGAAAGGAAGAAUAGGAGUUUGAUGGAUAUGGCCAGGUGCUUGAUGAUUCAGAAAAAUCUGCCUAAAGCACUAUGGGCAGAAGCAGUUAACACUGCAACAUACAUUCAAAAUAGACUUCCAACCAAGGCUUUGGAUCAAAAGACCCCGUUCGAGGCCUGGUUUAGUUUCAAGCCAUCAUUGGCUCAUCUGAAGGUCUUUGGAUGCAUCUGUUAUGCACAUGUACCUGCUGUUAAAAGGGACAAAUUGUCUGAAAGGGCUCGACCUGGUGUUUUGGUGGGGUAUAGCACUGUUAAGAAGGGCUAUAGGAUUUUAGAUCCUUCAACAAACAAAGUAUCAAUAAGCAGGGAUGUGGUAUUUGAUGAGAGGUCAUGUUGGAACUGGGAAAGACAUGAACCUGAAGAAGUUUCUGAAGAACUUGCUGUAGACCAAGCUGAGCCAGAUCAAAAUGUCCCUGAAAUGGAUAUUGAUGAUGAACCAGUCAGAGGAACAAGGUCAUUGGCUGAGGUUUAUGAAAGGGCUCAUGUAGCCAUAGCUGAACCAAGCAACUUUGAAGAGGCUGAGGCUCAACAAGGGUGGAAGCAGGCAAUGGCUGAGGAGAUCAGCAUGAUUGAGAAGAACCAGACCUGGGAAUUGGUUGAAAGGCCAGUCAAAAGGAAGGUGAUUGGGGUAAAAUGGGUGUACAAAGCCAAGCAGAAUGCUGAUGGUACCUUGAACAAGUUAAAAGCAAGGCUAGUGGUCAAGGGGUUCAGUCAGAGAUAUGGCUUGGACUACUUGGAGACCUUUGCACCAGUGGCCAGGCUCGACACCAUCAGACUGCUGAUUGCCUUAGCAGCACAGCUCGAAUGGAAGAUUCAUCAACUUGAUGUGAAAUCAGCCUUUCUGAAUGGGUUCUUAGAUGAAGACAUCUAUGUUGAACAACCACAAGGGUUUGAAAUAGCUGGCAGAGAGCAUAUGGUCUACAAAUUGAAGAAGGCCCUAUAUGGCUUAAAACAGGCUCCAAGGGCCUGGUACAGCAGAAUCGAUGGCUACUUGACUGAUCUGGGAUUCAAUCGAAGCAAGAGUGAGCCAACACUGUAUGUCAAGAAGCAAGGGACACAAACACAACUCAUUGUGUCCCUAUAUGUUGAUGACCUGCUAGUGACAGGAGGAGAUCAAGCAGUGCUGGUUAAUUUCAAGACCAAGAUGCAAGAGGUGUUUGAAAUGUCUGAUCUUGGUGAGAUGUCCUAUUUUCUUGGAAUGGAGGUGACUCAAGCACAAGAUGGGAUAUUUUUAAGUCAGAAGAGCUUUGCCACAAAGAUUCUGACCAAGUUCUCCAUGCAAAACAGCAAACCAACUAAAACACCUGUUGCUGUUGGAGAAAAACUAUCGAGCCAAGGAGAUUUUGAGAAGGUAUGUGAAACUACCUACAGGAGUCUAGUUGGUUGUUUGCUAUACUUGACUGCCACUAGACCAGACAUAAUGUAUGCUGUAGGAUUGCUCUCAAGGUUCUUGCAUUGUUGCAAUGAGAAGCAUUUCCAGGCUGCCAAGAGAGUGCUCAGAUAUGUCAAAGGCACUUUGGACUAUGGCUUAAGGUACAGCAGGAAAGGAAAUCUAAAUCUAGUUGGGUACACUGAUAGUGACUGGGCUGGAUCGAUAGAUGACAUGAAAAGCACCUCAGGGUAUGCUUUUAGACUUGGUUCAGCCAUGUUCUGCUGGAGCUCGAAGAAGCAAAGUCUGGUGGCACAAUCUACUGCUGAAGCAGAGUAUGUGGCAGCAGCAAGUGCUGUCAAUCAAGCCAUUUGGCUUAGGAAAAUCCUGGCUGAUUUGAAUAUGGAUCAAAUGGAAGCAACAGAGAUUUUCUGUGACAAUCAAUCUGCAGUAGCAAUUGCUAAAAAUCCAGUGUUCCAUGGGAGAACAAAACAUUUCAGCAUCAAGUUGCAUGUUGUUCGAGAAAUGGAGCAAGCUCAGGAAGUAAAGCUGAUCCACUGUAAUUCAGAGGAUCAACUUGCUGACAUUUUAACCAAAGCUCUUAGUGUCACAAGGUUUGAAUAUCUAAGAAAGAUGCUAGGUGUUUGCUCCAUGCAAACCAAGAAGGAGUGAUGAAGUUGGCUCAGCAUGCAGCAAACUCGACAGCAUGCAGGCCAUCAAGACCAAGUCAUGCAAGAGCUGCUGGAACGAGCUGAACUAUUCCUAUUUUGUUCAACUUGUAAUCUUAAGUUAAUGUAAUGUACUUUAGUUCAUUUAGAACUAUGUUAGGUUUAUGAUUGAUGUAUUUUGAUGACAAUUAAGCUGUUAAGUCAGCUUUGUUUAAGUGUGCAAGCUUAGUUUUUCAAGUUUCAAUGUAUUAGUUGUAGUAGGUGAUGAUUAGGUAUCAUUAUGCAGAUUUUGACAAGCAAAUUGCUUGGUUUAUGUAUUGGCAUUAUGCCAUUGUUCAGAAUAUGAAUAGAAUCAGUUUUUGUUCAUCAAUUUCCUCUCCAUUUUCUUAGCUUUUUCUUUCUUUCUUUAACUCGAAAUUGUUUGUUUGCUCAGCAAGUUUUAAGGCUUGCUCGACAAGAUACUUGCUGAGUCUGCUUGAUUCUGAUUCUUGCACCAACAGAUUCCAUUAACUCCAUCUUGCCAAUGCUGUCUGGUAUAUUUCCUGUUAGGAGAUUUCCUGAAAAAUUUAAAGACAAUAGUCCAACGAGACUACCAAUUUCUUUGGGGAACUCUCCUGUGAGACUGUUAGCUGAAAGGUCCAUGCUCGUAACAAGUCCUAGUGUGCUACCAUAUUCAUCCUCUCGUCCUUUCAACACCAAUAAUGCGUUCAAAACAAUUGCGUCAGUAUAUACAUACUCCGCAAGAACAAAAUUAUUGGUUUUGUUUGUUGUGGCCAUUGCACUUAAACUAUUAAAACAUUUUGGAAUAACUCCAGAAAUGUUGUUGUGGGCAAGGUCCAAGUUUUGAAGAAAUUGAAGAUCACAAAUUUUAUGAGGAAUAUGUCCAUCAAAGUUAUUUGAUCGAAGGCUUAGAAUCACAAGUUUUGAGAGCUUAUCACCAAUCCAUGCUGGUACACUUCCACUGAAAUGAUUUUCACUAAGAUCAAACAUAACCAAAUAUGGAGAAUUUUGCAAUGUGGAAGGCAAUUCUCCAAACAUUGUAUUGUUUCGAAGGUUUAGCAUUAUAAGAUUUAGAUGCCAUAAAGAAGGUGGGAUUUUGCCGGUCAAAUUGUUGCUUCCCAAAUUUAGAAGGACCAAACUUUGCCAAUGAUUCCAACAAUCUGGAAUAUCUCCUGAGAUAAGAUUUUUAUCAAUGUAAAGAACUUCCGUCAAUUUCCCACUUGAUGAAUUACAAAGUAAUUCAAAAAGAGAUCCCGAAAAUGAAUUAUUUGAUAACAUUAGAAAUACUAAAGUUGGGAAUACUCUUGGCAAUGGGCCUAUGAAUCGGUUUGAACUCAAAUCAACAGAGCUUCUCACAUUCAAAUAUGAAAUGUCUCCUCUAAGUUGAUUCGAGGAAAGGUUUAAAGAUUCAAAUGGAGUGGGAAGGUUCAAAAACCAAGGGGGCAUGACAUCUGAAAUUCCUGCAUAGGAGAUAUCCAAAUAAGACAAUUUCUUUUGGAAUUUUAGCCACUGGGGAAACUUUGGGCCAAGAUGCCAGUGACCCAAUUCGAUCCUUUCACAUUGAAAUAGAGGAAUCCAGCUUGAGUUUGGUUCAAAUCUAAGCCGAUUGUGUGAUGCUGCUAGAGUUGUCAAUCUCGUGAGAUUAGAAAAAUGGGUUUCUGAUACAACUCCUUCUAAUAGAUUAUACCCACAAUCCAGAGUUUCCAAACUUUCUAGUCGUCCAAAAGAUAGAGGAAAAGUACCAUUUAAUUGAUUUUCUGAAACAUCAAAUACCUCCAAAGAUGAUAACUGUCCUAUAGACAAGGGAAUUUGGCCGUUUAAUUGAUUUUUUGAAACAUCAAACAACUUCAAAGAUGAUAACUCCCCUAUAGACAAUGGAAUUUGACCAUUUAAUUGAUUUUCUGAAACAUCAAACUCCUCCAAAGAUGACAACUGCCCUAUAGACAAGGGAAUUUGACCAUUUAAUUGAUUUUCUGAAACAUGAAACAACUUCAGAGAUGAUAACUCCCCUAUAGACAAUGGAAUUUGACCAUUUAAUUGAUUUUGUGCAAGAUAAAGCUGAAUAAGAGAGCUCAAGUUUCCAAUGGCACUCGAGAUUGUUCCUUGUAACUGGGUACCCCAAAGACUAAGGAACUGAAGACGGUUUAAACUAUACAAGGAUUUGGGUAUGGAUGAAUUGAGAAAACUUAAACUGAGAUCAAGAAUUUCAAGAAACGAGAUGUUCCCAAAGUAAUCUGGAAUUGGGCCUUCCAAAGAUUUGCUACCAAGAUCAAUGGACACAAGACCAUGAAGACUAAAUAUCCACUUAGGUACUGAAGAUAAGCUGUUCCCAGAAAGAUCAAGAACAACCAGUGAUUUUGUGGAAUUAACAUUGAUCGAAGAUGGAUCAUUGUCUAAACCACAACCUGACAAGUGCAACUCUAACAAAGAAGGAAGUUUGAGUGUUACCUGUACCCAAUCAUUUGCUGUAUGAAGAUCCGCAUAACUCAAAUCAAGGUACUGCAAGGAAGAAAGUCCAGAAACCCAUUGAAGAGUUUUUGAUUUGAGAUCAUUACCUCGAAGAUCAAGAUACUGCAACUUUGAGAGAUUCCCAAGGUUAUGAGGAAUUGUUCCCUGAAAUUGUGCUCGAGAGAGGUUAAGAUAUGUUAAACUCUCCAGCAAACCAACAAAUUUCGGGAUAUGUAUGCUGCUAAAAUUGUUAUUGCUCAAGUCCAGGGAACUGAGAUGCUUCAACUCCAGCAGUGAAGGAUUUAUUUUGCCUCCUAGCAGGGAAUUGUAGUAAGCUUCCCAUUCAGCAUUUGAUGCAAAGUAAUCGGGCUUUGAAAGAGGAGCGGCCAAGUGCAGUUGGUUAACGUGGCCUGUUGAGUUAUGGCAGACGACACCAGUCCAUUCACAGCAAUCCCCACCUUCAACCCAUGACGAUAGCCUGUUUGAAGGAUCAAUAAGAUGAUUCUUGAAUUUCAAAAGAGCUUCUCUCUCACUCUGAAUGCAAAGUAGGUUGGAAUUGGCAUGAGAAAUGGUAAAACAGAUAGCGGGAAUGAGAAGAAGGCAAGGGAAAAAGGAAAAAGGAAGAGGAGUAGUCAUGGUUGCAAUUGCCAUCGCUCACAACUCCAAAUAUAUAGAGUAAGCUUUAGCUAAAACACAAAAAUACAUGAAGCGCAAGGAAGUUUCUUCCAGCAAAAUGCAUUAAAUUGGAAAUUUAAUUAUCCACAAAAGGUUUUAAAGUUGAGUCAAACAAAAGUCUACUAAAAGCUAAAGGAGAAAAAAGAGAAGGAAAAGCUAAUGGAAAACACGGAAUUUGAGUAUGAAAAGCAAAAUUUUGAUAACGAAUACUACUUCAACUUUUACUGAAAAUAAAUCAAUUUAUGUUUAUAUUCCUGUAUCAACGAAACAUAAAGUUUAGAAGCUGGUCAACUUAACCAAGUCUACAAGAUAUUUUUCAGGGUAAAUUACACCAAGGUCACGUUAAAAUGUGGUUUGUCCUAUUUUGGUCACUCUAAUUUUUUUUUCUCAAUUUAGUUAUUCUCGUUAAAAUAAUUAUUCAAACUAGUCACUGCAUUAAUCAAUUUGUCAUGUUAAAAUAUAAACGUAAUUUUUAAUUCACAAUACAACAAGUGAAUCACAUUUUAUCACUCCCCAAGUAGAAAUCCCACCAUUGUACCGAAAGACUAGAACAUUCACCUCUAAAUUCUCUCCAUGAGAACUUAGGAAGUAAACACCCAAUGUUUACAAUUCAAUUUGCACUCUCACACCAAACAGUUCCUCAAUGAAUGAAUACAAGUGCUCUCACUAUGCUCUCAUUCAUAAUCUAGACAAGCCUCCAUAGCAUAUGUCAAUUUCGACUUGCAAACAUAGAAUCUAAAUGAAAACAAAGCAACUCAUUGAUAAUAGCAAUUGCAAUCAAACCAAUAGAAGCAACUCCUUGAAAAUUUGUUAACUUUACUAAUGUGGUAUACUUGUGGAUUGCCACAUAGAUGGCAUAUCAGUGUUUAAUUAAUUUUAUAAAAUUUAAAAUUUUAUAAAUUAUUUUUAAAAUUAAAAAUUAUUAAAAAAAUAUGAGGAUCAAAUUGAGACCAUUUGUAAACUUUGAGAGUUAAUUUUUUAAAUUUAUGACUAAAUCGAUAUAAUAUGUAAAAAUUAAAGGCUAAAUUUGUUAUUAUCAAUUUUUUAAUUGCUACGUUAUCCUCUCGUAAGAGAUUAAACAACACUUAAUGGAAAUGGACCAAAAAAAAUCUUGAUUAGUUGGAUGACCAAAUUAAAAAAAUUGUUAGUUAAGUGAUCAAAAGAGAAAAAGUACAAUAUACAUAUAGCUGUGGUAUAGUUUAUCCUAUAAACAAAUAAAUAAAUCGUGUAAAAUCUUGUAGGUGUGCACCCAAACUCUUUAAAUAUAGCAAAAUAUCACAACAUGAGGUUAUUAUUCAAAUCUAUUAGACGUAUAAAAUUUUGGCUUAGCUCCCCAAAAUUCGAAUUACCUGCAUAUAACGAACUAUAAAGGUUGAAGCUUUUGCCCUUGCCCUUGCCUUAUCCAUGCCAUACAUCCAUUCUUAUUUAUAUAUAUGUUCAUUCCUCUUUAGAUAUUUGUGGAUAUAUGGUUGGUUAUCGUUAAUAGUUUCCAUAGAUCCAUUGUUGAGAAAUUGGUGAAAGGCAUGUAGCUUUGAGAUGCCUGUUCUGGUUUCUCGUUUUUGAGUUAGUGAGAGAAGAGAAAGGGAAAAAAAGUGCGUUGGAUAAUUAUAGAGAAGUGCUUAAGUUUUUGUCAAAAGUAAAAAAAAAAAAAAACAAAAUGCUAUGUGUCAUCAUUUAAAUGGUUAAUAUGCCACAUCAAUAAUCCGUUAGUGGGUUAACGAAAUUUUUAACACAAUGACUAGUUUGAGUAAUUAUAUUAAUUAAAGUGAUUAAAUUGAAAAAAAAUUAGAGUGGACAAACCCUAUUUUAGAGUGACCUUGAGUGUAGUUUACCCUUAUACUUUUAUGCAUGUCUAAAUUUACUAAUUUUUUUUGAGAGAAAAGAAAUUCAUUAAUGAGAAAGUCACAAAACACAAGUGAACACAAGGAGGAGACAAAUUACUAAACCUGAGCCAAUAGGCUCACCCCAUAAACCCAAACCUAUGGUCCGUAAUCCUCAUUUAUAUCAACAUAUGGUAUAAUUGCAACAUUAUUUGAAAAAGAUGUAAGGAAAAAAACAUACCAUUUCAUGUUGUUUGCAUAUAAGAAAGCUGCUCACACAAGUAAGUGGGUUGUCUUGUUGGCACACCGACUAGUCCAAAAAAAGGACAAAUGUUUAAACUAAUCUUUCAACACUAAACAAUCAUGUAACAAUACACUUAGCUCAGAUGCAUCCAUUAUUGGCGGAGUGCAAGCAGUCAUAACAGCCAAACAAUUAGACCCAAUGACCACAUUAUCGAAGAGCAGAGCCUUUAGCCCUCCCGAAUGGCGUAAGCUACAUCAAAAAAAGGACUAAAUCUGGCGUACUCAAACCCCGAGAGACAUAACAACAUCCGCAUUAUUGAUAUACAAUUAAACGCAAUCAUACAUCAAAGCAGACUUUCAAUAAAUUACACAAGCUCGAAAUGCAUGCCCUUGAUUCUUGUCCGAGUACUAAAACUAAACUUGAAGUUUAGACCAAUUGAUUCAAGUAAUCUCUUUUAAAAGUGGCAUUUGAUAGAUCUAAGAUCUGAAUCCUAUAUAAUCAACCACAAACACAAACAAAUUAAACCAUUUGUAACAAUUAAUUAAUUUUUAAAAUUUAAAAAAUUCUAACAAUUAUUUUUAAAAUUAAAAAUCAAAAUUAUUAAAAAAAUAUGAGGAUCAAAUUGAGACCAUCUGUAAAUUUUAAGGGUUAAUUUUUUAAAGAAUUUAACUAAAUCAAUAUAAUAUGUAAAAGUUGAGAGCUGAACUUGUUAUUAUCAAUUUCUUAAAUAUUGCUACAUCACCCUUUCUUCAGAGAAUGAACAACACUUAAUGAAAAUGAACUAAAAAAAAUAUCUUGAGUAGUUGGGUGACAAAAAAAAAAGAUAGUUAGAUAAUAAAAAAAAUGACAGUAUAACCUGUGGUAUAGUUUAGCUUGUAAAUAAAUAAAUCAAUAAAUGUUGUAAAAUCUUGUAGGUCCGCCGUCAAACUCUUUAAAUAGUACAAAGAUGAGGUUAUUAUUGAAAUCUAUUAGAGGUUUAGAAUUUUGGCUUAGCUCCCAAAAGUUGGAAUUGCCUGCAUAUAACGAAUAACAAAGGUUGAAGCUUUUGCCCUUGCCCUAUCUAUGCCAUACAUCCUUUCUUAUUUAUAUAUGUUCAAUUUUCUUUUAACUAUUUGUGGAUGUAUGGUGGGUUAUCAUUGAUAGUUGUCAUACAUCCAUUGUUGAGAAAAUGGUGAAGGACAUGUAGCUUUGGAAUGCCUGUUUUGGUUUCUACAUCUUGAGUUACAAAGAGAACAGAAAGGGAAAAAAAUGUUUUGGAUUAAUUAUAGAGGUCUCUAAGUUUUUGUCAAAAGUCAAAUGAAAUUGCCACGUGUCAUCAUUCAAUUGGCUAAUUUGUUACAAUGGCAAUCCGUUAGUGGAUUAACAGAAUUUUUAACAGCAGUGACUAGUUCGAACAAUAAUAUUAAUUAGAGUGAGUAAAUUGAUAAAAAAAAUUAGAGUGGCCUUGGGUCUGGUUUACACUUAUACUUUAAUUUAUGUGUGUCUAGAUUUACUAAAUUUUUUUUGAGAAAAAAAAUAUUAAUGAGAAAGUCACAAAAUAGUAACAAAUACAAAGAGGAGAUAGACUACAAAACCCGAGCCAACAAGCACACCCCAUACACCCGAACCUACCAUCUGCAAUCGUCAUCUGUAUCAAAAUAAGACAUAAUUUCAACAUUCUUCAAUGGGGAAAAGCAUCCCAUUCCUUGUGAAUUGCAUAUAACAAAGCCGGUUACGUAAGCGAGUGGGCCGCCUUGUUGGCACACCCAUGAGUCCCAAAAAAAGACAAACGCUAAAACUAAUCUUUCAGCACCCGCCAAUCUAGCUCAGAUGCAUCAAUUAUACAUGCUUUUUUCCUAUUAAACUACAUACCCAUAGUAGCCCAAAACACAUACAAUUUACCAUAGGAUCUGGUCCAACUUUCGAUAGUAUGCAAUCCUCUAAGACCUAAUGAGAAAGAAGGGAGCCACUACACCCCAAAAUCCCAUUACAAAGCCAAGAACUAUGCUGAGUUAAAGCCAAUUCACUUUACUUCCAUUAUUUGCAACAUCAGUUGGAAUACCUUUUGAGGUAAAACAGAAAAAUACAUGAAGCGCAAGGAAGUUUCUUCCAACAAAAUGCAUUAAAUUGGAAAUUUAAUUAUCCACAAAGUCAAACAAAAGUGUAUGAAGAAAGCCCCACUCCCACAUUCUUUAAGACAUUUUAGGUCUUAAAAGCUAAAGGAGAAAAAAGGAAAGAAAAGGUAAUGGAAAAGACGGAAUUUGAAGAAGAAAAGCAAAAUGUUGAUAUUUUAUAGAAAUACUACUUCAACUUUGAUUGAAAAUAAAUCAAUUUAUCUUUUAUUCUACUUUAUUUAACUCAUAAACUUUUCUAUGUAAGUUUCCAAGAAAGAAAGAGGAAAAAGAGAAGGAAAAGAAAAUGGAAAACACGGAAUUUGAGUCAGAAAAGCAAAAUAGAAUUUUACUAUUUCCAAUGCCGAGCCCCUCACUGAGAUGGAUGAAAAUGUAGAGAAGUGUUGAAUUGUGAUUGGAGGACUGAAGUUUCUUUUUAAUGACUCUUUAAGACAUUGGAGAAUUUUGGCUUAGCUCCAAUGUUAGAAAUUUUCUAAUUUUUAUAUGUGAAUAAAUUAUUUUUUAAAACUUAAAAUAUUACUUUUAAAAAUUCAACUUAAAUCUGUUUUUUCUCAAUCUCAAAAAUUCUUUUUCUUGCCAUAAUCAGGGUAUUCAUCAUUGAUAGCAAUGAUUAAUUUUCUAACCGUGGAUACGUUCUGAAACGUUAAAUGAGUGACAAUAAAAUGUGUUCCAUUUUUGUGAGCGGGAUUAAAAAUUAUUUUUUUCGAUACCCAUCAUCGGUAAUAGUGAUUAAUUUUCUAAAUGUGGAUGCUUGCUGAAAAGAUAAAUGAUUGACAAUAAAAUGUAUUCUAUUUUCGUGAGUGGAGAUUAAAAAUUAUUUUUUAAUUAUUUGAAAAGGUUGUUUAAGUUAGGGGAGAGGAUUAUUAUUAUACGAUUUAAAAACUAAAUCACAAAGUGUCAAUAUAGAACUUCAAUCUAUAGUACUUGAUACUGUUUUGGUACCACGUACUGAUCGAAACAUUCCGUUCUGAUAGUAAAUUGAAACAACUAAUUGUUUCAUGUUGAGUUUUCUCAAUAAAGUUUUAGUUACCAAAAGUUGUAAAAUUUCCUAUUUAUUUUGGUCAAAAGUUGUAGAAUUAUUUGUGUUUUAAAAUAAAAUCUGAAAAAUUUUCUCUCAUGUAAAGAAAUAUUUAUGGCAUAAUGAUAAAUUGAGCCCUUAACGUUUACCUCUAUUAUCAAUUUGAUUUUUAUUCUUUUUUUGAGUUAAAUUUGACCAUUAAUUUUUUAAAAAGAAUCAAAUUGCUUUAAAAAAAAAGAAUUGUUGACUAAAAAAACUGAUAUUCUAGCGAUGUUGGCAUGCUAGGACGCAUGGUAGUCCUAUUUGUCUUAUAUGCUACAUCAAUCUAAAUACACGUGGAUUGUUAUGCAGGUUACAAUGUUUAAAAAUUGAAUGUUUUAGUUAGUAUUUCCGUUAAAAAAACAAUAAUGAGACUCUUUUUAAAAUGUUAUGGGUCAAAUUGAGCUCAAAAAAAGAUUAAAAACUAAAUUGAAAAGAAAUAUAAAUAUUGAAAACUAAAUUUAAUAUUAUACUGAUAUUUAUUAUGUCCUGCUUUCCAAUGAACCUAACUCAACAUCCAUGCUCUAUCUAAACUCACUUUAUUACUUUUCAAAAAUUUCAAUAUAUAUUUUAGGCUUAAUUCACAUAUUGAUACUUAAAUUAUAUCCUUUUUUCCUAUCUUGAUAUCUAAACUAUUUUUUUUUUAAAGUUGGUACCUCUGUUAGUCUAACUAUUAAAUCUAUGUUUAAACAAGGCUUAACUUAUAAGUUGGUACACAAACUAUGCAUUUUAUUUAUUUUGGUACCUAAACAUUUUUUUGCUCUUAAGUGGUACUUAAACUAUUCUUCUCUUACCCAUUUGACACCAAAAUGUUAUACCCAUUCAAUAAAAUUCCAGCUAAUAAUAAUCUGCCAUGUCAUAUAACUUAAAAUAUAUAUAUUUUUAAAUUUUUUCCUUUUUUCUUUUACAUUUUUCUCUCUUUUUUACUUUUUUUCCCAUUCCCUUUUUCUUCUUCUUCUUCUUUUAUAAUGUAUGACAAUACUAGUGAUGCUCAAAAUUUGCUCUCUCAAAGUUGAGAUGCUGGUAAUUGAUUAUAUUUUCGAAUUUCAUCGCUUACUUGUUUGAGUUGAUGAGAUUGAAAAAGUUGUUUCAUCGACCAAAUCCAAUGUUUUCAAAAUUGGACUGGAUUGACCGGUUGGAUUGAGAAUCUGUUGGGGUAUUGGUUCGGAGAUAGGGGUUGAUGGAUUGACUUGCAAAAUUUUGAUACCACUUGUGACAAAAAAAAAGUUUAAAUACCAAGAUGAGAAAAUUUUAAUUUAAGUACCAAUUUGUGGAUUAAGCCUAAAUUUUAUAAUCUCAUUUUGAAUAUCCUCUUGCUCUAUCCUUUUUCUUUUCCUUCCUAUAUAAAUCCAAAUAUAUUUUUCUUUAUAUGACAACAUGUCAUGAGAUUUAUAAAAUCAUUUGAAAAAUUCGAAAUUAUUUUUUUCAUUCAAUAAUUCCAAAAAAACAUUAACAGUUGAAAAUGGUGCAUUCUGAUUUUUUUUAAUUUAAAAUUUUUUCCAUUGAAAACAACAUAAGAGUCCAACAUUUUCAUUGAAAAUAAUUGAAAAAAAUGUCAUUUAAUCUUAAUUUAUUUGUUAACAUCAUUUUAGUAUGAUAUAUAAUAUAUAUGAUAUUCAUUUCUACAUGAUUUAGUUGAAUCCAAUCAAAUGUUCAUUAGCCAUAGAUUUGGUUUCUAUAGAUGGACGGUAGAAUCUUCAAAAUAUCAGCACAAUAACUAGUCAAAGAUUUUGUUGUAUAAAUUUGCCAACUCAAAUAUGAAAAGUAUGUUUACUACCUUAGCGGCUGUUUGUAAUAGGCACUAUUGAGUGCCGAUCAUCACAGAUUCACGCACCUUGUCUCAACAAAUAGUCUUAAUUAAGAAAAUGAAUUUUCAAGUAAUUAGUUUAAGAGUACGUAAUAAAUUUAAUUUGUUUUAUAAAAGAUUUAAAUGAUAUAAUUAACUCUGUAUUAAAAAAAUAACUUUAGCUUUUUCGUGCUUUUACCAAUUGAGUUGGUGUCACUUGACUUAUGAUACUAAACUUAAUCAGACAUGUUAUUAUAGUAUAAAUAAUUAUCUUGUGACCAUAUACAUAUCUAUAUAUGAAAUAGUGAUCGUAUACAUAUAUAUACACACACGAAGAACUUAAUUUUUAAAUCUAUCACUCAUCCGUUUAUUCUCUCUCUUAUAAUUGUCUUUUUACAUCAUAUUUUAAUAAUAUAAUGUGACCAUAAAUUAAACCCUUAAUUGUAGGCUAAAUUAGCCAUAUAUGCCAAAAAAGUUUGUUAAUUGACUAAAUAGGUCAUUUUUUUUUGAAAAUUUAGGGAAAUCGACCCUUUUUGGAUAGAGUGUGUGAAAGCUCGCCUAGCUAGACAAACUUUCCUGCCACUUCUGCAGAAAGUGCGUCCAGCUGGUCGCGCUUUCAUACACUCUCUCCAAAAACGACUUAUUUCCCUAAAUUUUCACUAAAUCGACCUUCAUGACCAAUUAACUCAAUUUUUUUUAUCAUUUUUGGAGGUACCAAAGUGUAAUUUUACCAUUAGUAAUUUAAAAUUUUAUAAACUAUAAGGGGGCCUAAAUGGAAAAUUUUUCAUUUUAGGGGGCCGAAGCCCCUACCAGCCCCUUGGCUCCGCCCCUGGUGCCGCGUGUCAUAAUUCAGCAAUCCAUUAAUGGAUUAAUAGAAUUUUUAACGACAUUAACUAGUUCGAACAAUACAUUAAUUAGAGUGACUAAAUUGAGAAAAAAAUUAGCUAGAGUGACCAAAAUAGGACAAACCUAUUUUAUAGUGACCUUGGGUGUUGUUUACCCUUAUGCUUUUAUACGUGUCUAAAAUUAUUAUUUUUAGAGAAGAAAUUCAUUAAUGAGAAAUAAAAAAGCAAAAGUGAACACAAAGAGGAUACGAACUACUAAAUCCGAGCCAACAGGCUUGCCCCAUACACCCAAAUCUACUGUCCGCAAUUUGCAUUCCUAUCAACAUAAGCCAUAAUUUCAACAUUCUUCAAGAAAGAUGCAAGGGAAAACACAUCCUAUUAUGUGUGGUUUGCAUAUAACAAAACCGCUCAUGCAAGCGAGUGGGCCGCUUUGUUGGCACACCAAGUGAGUUGACAGACGCAAAAACUAAUGUUUUAACAUCAAACAAUAAUGUAGCAACACACAUAGCUUAGAUGCAUCAAUUAUACAUGCUUUUUUCCUAUCAAACUACAUACCCAUAGUAGCCCAAAACACAUUAGAGUUUACCAUAGAUAUGGUCUAGCUUUCGAUAGUAUGCAUGCCUCCAAGACCUGAUGAAAAACAAGGGAGCCACUACACCCCAAAAUCCCAUUACAAAGCCGAGAACUAUGCUGACAUAAAGCCAAUUCACUUUACUUCCUUCCCUGCUACUUCCAUUAUUUGCAACGUUAAUUGGAAUACCUUUUGAGGUGCAGUUCUUAGUGAGAGGAGGUCCGCAAAGAUGAUUGCCCACGUAAGACAAGUUUUCAAAGCUUUGAAGCUGAGUGCUUGUUGGGAUUUGUCCUAUCAAGUUGUUGUAAGACACAUUGAAGUGAUUCAAGAAAUUCAAAUUGGAGAAACUUGGAGGGAUUUCACCAUUUAGUCGAUUCAUGGACAAAUCAAGAGAUUCCAUUAACUCCAUCUUGCCAAUGCUGUCUGGUAUAUUUCCUGUUAGGAGAUUCCCUGAAAAAUUUAAAGACAAUAGUCCAGCGAGGCUACCUAUUUCUUUGGGGAUCUCUCCUGUGAGACUGUUAGCCGAAAGGUCCAUGCUCAUAACAAGUCCUAGUGUGCUACCAUAUUCAUCCUCUCGUCCUUUCAACACCAAUAAUGCUUUCAAAAUAACUAAGGCAGCAUCUACAGACUCCGAAAGAACAAAAUUAUUGGUUUUGUUUGUUGUGGCCAUUGCAGUUAAAUUAUUAAAACAUUUUGGAAUAACUCCAGAAAUGUUGUUGUGGGCAAGAUCCAAGUUUUGAAGAAAUUGAAGAUCACAAAUUUUAUGAGGAAUAUGUCCAUCAAAGUUAUUUGAUCGAAGGCUUAGAAUCACAAGGUUUGAGAGCUUAUCACCAAUCCAUGCUGGUACAUUUCCACUGAAAUGAUUUUCACAAAGAUCAAGCAUAAUCAAAUGUGGAGAAUUUUGCAAUGUGGAUGGUAAUUCUCCAAACAAUGUAUUGUUUCGAAGGUUUAGCAUUGUAAGAUUUAGAUUCCAUAAAGAAGGUGGGAUUUUGCCUGUCAAAUUGUUGCUUCCCAAAUUUAAAAGUUCCAACUGCUGCCAAUGAUUCCAACAAUCUGGAAUAUCUCCUGAGAUAAGAUUUUUAUCAAUGUAAAGGAUUACCGUCCGUUUCUCACUUGAUGAAUUACAAAGUAAUUCAAAAAGAGAUCCCGAAAAUGAAUUAUUUGAUAAAAUUAGAAAUCAUAAAGUUGGGAAUACUCUUGGCAAUGGGCCUAUGAAUCGGUUUGAACUCAAAUCAACACUGUUUCUCACAUUCAAAUAUGAAAUCUCUCCUCUAAGUUGAUUCAAGGAAAGGUUUAAUGAUUCAAAUUGAGUGGGAAGGUUCAAAAACCAAGUGGGCAUGACGUCUGAAAUUCCUGCACAGGAGAUAUCCAAAUAAGACAAUUUCUUUUGGAAUUUUAGCCACUGGGGAAACUUUGGUCCAAGAUGCCAGUGACCCAAUUCGAUACUUUCACAUUGAAAUGGGGGAAUCCAGCUUGAGUUUGGUUCAAAUCUAAGCCGAUUGUGUGAUGCCUUCAGAGUUGUCAAUCUCGUGAGAUUAGAAAAAUGGGUUUCUGAUACAACUCCUUCUAAUAGAUUAUACCCACAAUUCAGAGUUUCCAAACUUUCUAGUCGUCCAAAAGAUAGAGGAAAAGUACUAUUUAAUUGAUUUUCUGAAACAUCAAAUACCUCCAAAGAUGAUAACUGCCUUAUAGACAAGGGAAUUUGGCCGCUUAACUGAUUUUUCGAAACAUCAAACAACUUCAAAGAUGAAACCUCUCCUAUAGACAAUGGAAUUUGACCAUUUAAUUGAUUUUCUGAAACAUCAAACUCCUCUAAAGAUGACAACUGCCCUAUAGACAAGGGAAUUUGGCCGUUUAAUUGAUUUUCUGAAACAUCAAACAACUUCAAAGAUGAUAACUCCCCUAUAGACAACGGAAUUUGACCGUUUAAUUGAUUUUCUGAAACAUCAAACUCCUCCAAAGAUGAUAACUGCCCUAUAGACAAGGGAAUUUGGCCGUUUAACUGAUUUUUUGAAACAUCAAAUAACUUCAAAGAUGAUAACUCUCCUAUAGACAAUGGAAUUUGACCAUUUAAUUGAUUUUCUGAAAGAUCAAGCUGAGUAACAGAGCUCAAGUUUCCAAUGGAACUCGAGAUUGUUCCUUGUAACUGGGUCUCCGUAAGACUAAGGAACUGAAGACGGUUUAAACUAUACAAGGAAUUGGGUAUGGAUGAAUUGAGAUUAUUGAAAGCAAGAUCAAGAACUUCAAGAAACGAGAUGUUCCCGAAGUAAUCUAGAAUUGGUCCUUGCAAAGAACAGCUACUAAGAUCAAUGGACACAAGACCAUGAAGACUGAAUAUCCACUUAGGUACUGAAGAGAAGCGGUUCCAAGAAAGAUCAAGAACAACCAGUGAUUUUGAAGAAUUGGCACUGAUCGAAGAUAGACCAUCUUCUAAAUCACAAUCUGACAAGUGCAACACUAACAAAGUAGGAUGUUUGAAUGUUACCUGUAUCCAGUCUUUUGCUUUAGAAAGAUUCGCAUAGCUCAAAUCAAGGUACUGCAAGGAAGAAAGCCCAGAAACCCAUUGAAGACUUUUUGGUUCGAGAUCAUUACCUCGAAGAUCAAGAUACUGCAGCUUUGAGAGAUUCCCAAGGUUAUGAGGAAUUGCUCCCUGAAAUAGUGCACCAGAGAGGUUAAGAUAUGUUAAACUCUCCAGCAAACCGAAAAAUUUCGGGAUAUGUAUGCUGCUAAAAUUGUUAUUGCUCAAGUCCAGGGAACUGAGAUGCUUCAACUCCAGCAGUGAAGGAUUUAUUUUGCCUCCUAGCAUUGAAUUGUUGUAAGCUUCCCAUUCAGCAUUUGUUGCCAAGCCAUCAAGCACUGAAAGAGGAGCGGCCAAGUGCAGUUGGUUGACGUGGCCUGUUGAGUUAUGGCAGACGACACCAGUCCAAUCACAGCAAUCCCCACCUUCAACCCAUGACGAUAGCCUGUUUGAAGGAUCAAUAAGAUGAUUCUUGAAUUUCAAAAGAGCUUCUCGCUCACUUGGAAUGCAAAGUAGGUUGGAAUUGGCAUGACAAAUGGUAAAACAGAUAGCGGGAAUGAGAAGAAGGUAAGGGAAAAAGGAAAUAGGAAGAGUAGUCAUGGUUGCAAUUGCCAUGGCUCACAACUCCAAAUAUAUAGAGGAAGCUUUAGGUAAAACACAAAAAUACAUGAAGCGCAAGGAAGGUUCUUCCAACAAAAUGCAUAGGAAAUUGGAAAUUUAAUUAUCCACAAAGUCAAACAAAAGUGUAUGAAGAAAGCCCCACUCCCACAUUCUUUAAGACUUUUUAGGUCUUAAAAGCUAAAGGAGAAAAAAAGAAAGAAAAGGUAAUGGAAAACACGGAAUUUGAGUAAGAAAAGCAAAAUUUUGAUAAGGAAUAGUACUUCACCUUUUAUGUUUAUAUUCCUGUAUCAACAAAACAUAAAGUUUAGAAGCAGGUCAGCUUAACCAAGUCUACGGAGUAAGAUAUUUUUCAGGAUAAAUUAAACCAAGGUCACACUAAAAUGCGGUUUGUCCUAUUUUGGUCACUUAAUUUUUUUUUCUCAAUUUAGUUAUUCUCAUUAAAAUAAUUAUUCAAACUAGUCACUCGCGUUAAUCAAUUUGUCCCGUUAAAAUAUAAACAUAAUUUUUAAUCCACAAUACAACAAGCGAAUCACAUUCUAUACUCCCUGUCGAAACCAUUUUUUGAAAACAAAAAUAGAGUCGACUUUUAUUUUGAAAAAAAAAGGGAGUCACCACCGACAUUUUUUGAGGUGUGAUCGGAUCACCUUGCAAUUCGAUUGUUUUGAUAAAACGUUUUGAUUUUAUUAAAACAAUAAUUUUGGUCUACGGAAUUCAAGAAAAACAAGUUCGGGAGUCAGUUACAUGCGAGGAAGGAUUAGCACCCUCGUCAUGCCCAAAAUUGGUACCUGAUCAAUUAAUUAAUGUCUGAAUGUCGAAAAAUUAAAAAUUUAAAAAUAAAUUUAAAAAUAUGAUUCUUUUAAAAUCACUUAAAAAUUUAAGGAAUGGUGCUCUUCUCGUUAAUCGAAAAAAGAAUUAUAUCCCGUGAGUUAAGACACAAUAUCUAAAAUUCCGAAACGAGAAUAAACACCAAAAGAUUUAUUUAUUUUUAGAAAUUUUGAUCAUCUCGGUUUCGGAAAAGAAAUCAUAUCCCGUAAGUUGAAACACGAUCAUUUUCUGAUUCCCGAGAUAAUUUUAAGAAAACGUGUUUUUUUUAUUUUAAAAAAAUGUUCGUAUAUUUGAAAUUAUCGAAAAAUCGAGACCCCGUAAGUUAGGGUAUGAUCUUUUCGAAAAUCCCAAACACCGAAUGUUAUGCUAUCUUAGAAGCUUUUGGAUAAAAUGAUUUCAAAACUUAAACCAUAUUAAACGCAACUUUUUGAGCGAAUAAAGUGCGAUGGAAUAAUAAUGAACAAUGCGAAGCGAUAAUUUGUAAACCAAAAUGUACUGUAAUGAAUCACAAAUAAUCAAUAAAUACAAAUAAGCAAUACAAUACACAAGAGCAAUAAUCUCACAUCACAUAUUAUGUAAAUACCAACCUUAAUAUUUGAAAGCUAGUGAAAAAGCUAAUUAAUUAAAAAAACAAGCCAAUUAACACAAGCACAAACAAAAUAUACCAAUUUUAAAAUAACUAAAGAAACGAAUAGCGUGAAAGAAAGGCAAUUAUAAUCAAUAAAUUGUAUAUAUAAAAAUUUUAAAAUAAAUAAUAUAUAUAAGAAAGUUUGAAAUAGAUUAAAAAUGAAGAUAAAAAUAUUUACUAUGUGAAAUGAUAAUAUCUAAAUGAAUUUUAAAAUAAAUAUUGUAUAAAAAGAAAAUCAAAAUAAAUAGUGCACAAAAUAAUAUACAUACAUAUUUAUCUAAUAAGUAAUAUAUGGAAUGAAAAGCUCAAUAUAUAUAAUAAUAUAUACAUAGCGAUAUAGGUAAAAAGUUGAAAUAAGUAAAAUAUAAUAAAAUAAGUUUUUAAAAGAAAUAAAUUAUAUAUAUAGAAAUAAAUAAAAAAUAAUAAUAUGAAAUCAAUAAUAUAUAUAAAAUAAAAAAUUUAAUAUAAACUAUGUAUGUAUAUAUAAAAUAGUAUUAUAUGAGAGUAUUAUUAUAUAAAUUUUAAAACAUAGCAAUAUAUAUAAAGUGGAUUUUAUAAUUAAAAUAAAACGUUAAAGAAUAAAUACAAAUUAUAUUGAAUUUACAACAAGAAUGCAUAAAAUCAUAGAUGAUAAGUUCAAAAUAAUAAUACAUGAUAACUUUAAAUAAAAAUACAUGAUAAACUUAAAAUAAUAAUAUAUUAUAAAUUAAAAUAAUAUUGAUGAUAAAAAAUAUAUUAAGCUUAAACAUAAAAAUAAUGUUAGAUUUAAAAUUAAAUUUAUUUUUUUAAAUGAAUUUUAAACAUAAUAAAAAUCGAGUACAUUAAAUUAAACAAGUACGGAUUAAAUUGUAUUUAAUUCAAAAUUAAAAGGGAAAAAUGUAAAUAAAAUAAAAUUGAAGGCCAAAAGGGAACGCGUGAAUAACAUGGGGACUAAAUAGGAAAAUAUCCCCAGCCCUAAAACGCAGCGUUUCAUCAUGGACCAAAAUGAAACUAAAAGGAAAUCAUGCGGCCACAAUUAAAGAAAUAAAAUGGACUAGAUUGCCACAGUGCAAAAUCGAAGGGGCCUGGCGCGCGAAUAUCCCCUUCACGACAGAAACACGAGGAUCUUGAGGGCAAAUGGGUCAGAUCUCGGGUCGCAGGCCUUAUACGACGUCGUUUUGAGGCCACUGAAGUAGGGUUUUAUUGUAAUUGGGCUAAAUGGUAUUUGGGUUUUAUUGUAAUUCAGCAAUCCAUUAAUGGAUUAAUAAAAUUUUUAACGACAUUAACUAGUUCAAACAAUAACAUUAAUUAAAGUGACUAAAUUGAGAAAAAAAUUAACUAGAGUGACCAAAAUAGGACAAACCUAUUUUAUAGUGACCUUGGGUGUAGUUUACCUUUAUGCUUUUAUACGUGUCUAAAAUUACGAUUUUUUAGAGAAGAAAUUCAUUAAUGAGAAAAUAAAAAAGCAAAAGUGAACACAAAGAGGAGACAGACUACUAAACCCGAGCCAAUAGGCUUACCCCAUACACCUAAAUCUACCAAUUUGCAUUCGUAUCAACAUAAGACAUAAUUUCAACAUUUUUCAAGAAAGAUGCAAGGGAAAAAAACAUCCUAUUAUGUGUGGUUUGCAUAUAACAAAACCGCUCGUGCAAGCGAGUGGGCCGCUUUGUUGGCACACCAAGCAAGUUGACAGACGCAAAAACUAAUCUUUUAACAUCAAACAAUCAUGUAGCAACACACCUAGCUUAGAUGCAUCAGUUAUACAUGCUUUUUUCCUAUCAAACUACAUACCCAUAGUAGCCCAAAGCACAAUAGAGUUUACCACAGAUAUGGUCGAGCUUUUGAUUGUAUGCAAUCCUCCAAGUCCUAAUGAAAAACACGGGAGCCACUACACCCCAAAAUCCCAUUACAAAACCAAGAACUAUGCUGACAUAAAGCCAAUUCACUUUACUUCCUUCCCUGCUACUUCCAUUAUUUGCAACGUCAAUUGGAAUACCUUUUCAGGUGCAGUUCUUAGUGAGAGGAGGUCCCAAAGUUUUCAAUCCCAUUAUUUCUCGACAUGAGUGACUCGGAUGUUGUAGACAUAAAGUUUAACACCUUCUUUCACUACGCAAGCUAUGGAACCAACUCCCAUAUCAAAGCAAUCCCACAAUGAAAAUUGCCCUAUUUGGGAUAAUACCACUUUCUGUUCCCCAGCCAGUUUCCUGCACUUAUCAGCUAUAACAUGAAAGAAAUGAAAAAGAAAAAUUUUAAAAACCAUACAUGGUACGUACCUACAUAAAUAGGUAAAAGUACCAUAGAGCCCCCUAUAUUAGGAGUUGGAUUAUAUAUUACCCAUUUUAUAAAAAAAAUUGGACGAAUUAAUCCCAGUACGAUAGAUCAAAGAGCAAGCCGGUCAUUUCUAUUAAAAAUUUCAUCAAUUUUUUCUGUUAAAAAUUGACGUGACUGAUAAAAUAACUAGACAAUUACAUGCAGUGUGCCUAGUGUAUAUCAUGUUGACGUAUAAAGAUAAAUUUUAACAAUGAAAAUGAAAGUUUUUAACAUAAGACUAAUUUGCUAUUUGAUCUAAAGUACAAGAAUUAAUUUACUCAUUUUUUAAGUAAAGGAGCACAAUUUAGUCUGACUUAUAAUACAAAAGCCUCCACGAUACUUUUACCUAUCUCUAUAUAUAACUAAAAUUGAGCAAAAUAUGCACGUAAAAGCUAAGAAAAAAAAAAAGCUAGAUAAAGUAAAUUCAAACAAGCAUGAAAGUUUUUUCCUAGCUCAUGAUGCUUCUUCAACUUGAUUUUUAUGUAUAUAUACUCGCUCAAAAUCGAAUUUUAUUCAAUACUUUAGCUUUCUAUUUCGACCAUAACCCUUAAAAGAUUUAUCUAAUCCCAUGACCAUUCAUAUGAAAUUUUACAUAAUGUUUUAUAUUAUAUUAGCUUUUACAAAAUUAAUCCCAUUUCUAUGUUACAAAAUUAAAAAAAAAAGUGACAUUUUAAUAAAUAUAUCUGAGCGAGACAGAAAUUGAUUCUAAAAAUUUUAAUGAAAAACUCGAUUCACCUUGCUUCAAACUCAAUUUUUAAAAACAAAAAACCACCCUAUAUAGCUGGGGUGGAUGAAAUCUUAAUAACUUGAAAGGAUUUUUGUCAGGUAUGCAUUUCACACGUAUAUUAAAACUUUUAUAAAUUGUUUCAUAUAUAUUUGAAAGAUUCUAUGCUCAUUCUCAUGGUUAAAUGUGCCGAAUCUAAAUUUAUACUUUAAAAUAAAAAAACGAAAUAACUCUAAACAGAUAUGCCAAUUUGAUCCAUAAAAGUUAACAAAGAAGAGAGAACAAUCAAGUACAUUAAAUUUUACAAACUUGAAAUUAACUUGGAGAUUUAAAUUCCAACAUUUACGACUUGCUUUAUUUUCCAGACCAAAUGCAAAAACGAGGACGUUUUGAGGUUGUUACCUGUCUUACUGAGAAGGGUGAGUCCAAGGAUGAAGAGCAACAGCUGAACUCUUUUUUUGUUGAGAUCCAUUGGCAACAGUUAGAAAAUGACAGAAAAAAAAAAUUGGCUAAUCCUAUUUACACUAUUUUUGUUACUCCUAAUUUGAAGGAUCAAGGAGGAAGAAGACCAGAUCUAUGGCCGUCGCGUCUACUCAAUUAUUAAGCUAAGCAACUGAUGGAAUUUAUCAAACAUCAUUUUUUUGCUGAAAAUUAUUUUCAUUGUAAAUUAUUGAAAUACAACAAAACAUAUUCAUACAUAAUCAAAACACACUUUGAUCCAAUCUCCAGUAAAUUAUACCAACUUUAGACCAACAUGUUUAGACAUGUUUUUUUCCUAUCAAACUACAUACCCAUAGUAGCCCAAGACACAUACAGCUUUCGACCAACAUGGUCCAACUUUCGAUAGUAUGCAUGCCUCCAAGACCUGAUGAAAAACAAGGGAGCCACUACACCCCAAAAUCCCAUUACAAAGCCGAGAACUAUGCUGACAUAAAGCCAAUUCACUUUACUUCCUUCCCUGCUACUUCCAUUAUUUGCAACGACAAUUGGAUUACCUUUUGAGGUGCAGUUCUUAGUGAGAGGAGGUCCACAAAGAUGAUUGCCCACGUAAGAUAAGUUUUCAAAGCUUUGAAGCUGAGUGCUUGUUGGGAUUUGUCCUGUCAAGUUGUUGUAGGACACAUUGAAGUGAUUCAAGAAAUUCAAAUUGGAGAAACUUGGAGGGAUUUCACCAUUUAGUCGAUUCAUGGACAAAUCAAGAGAUUCCAUUAACUCCAUCUUGCCAAUGUUGUCUGGUAUAUUUCCUGUUAGGAGAUUCCCUGAAAAAUUUAAAGACAAUAGUCCAGCGAGGCUACCUAUUUCUUUGGGGAUCUCUCCUGUGAGACUGUUAGCCGAAAGGUCCAUGCUCAUAACAAGUCCUAGUGUGCUACCAUAUUCAUCCUCUCGUCCUUUCAACACCAAUAAUGCUUUCAAAAUAACUAAGGCAGCAUCUACAGACUCCGAAAGAACAAAAUUAUUGGUUUUGUUUGUUGUGGCCAUUGCAGUUAAAUUAUUAAAACAUUUUGGAAUAACUCCAGAAAUGUUGUUGUGGGCAAGAUCCAAGUUUUGAAGAAAUUGAAGAUCACAAAUUUUAUGAGGAAUAUGUCCAUCAAAGUUAUUUGAUCGAAGGCUUAGAAUCACAAGGUUUGAGAGCUUAUCACCAAUCCAUGCUGGUACAUUUCCACUGAAAUGAUUUUCACAAAGAUCAAGCAUAAUCCAAUGUGGAGAAUUUUGCAAUGUGGAUGGUAAUUCUCCAAACAAUGUAUUGUUUCGAAGGUUUAGCAUUCUAAGAUUUAGAUUCCAUAAAGAAGGUGGGAUUUUGCCGGUCAAAUUGUUGCUUCCCAAAUUUAAAAGCUCCAAAAGCUGCCAAUCAUUCCAACAAUCUGGAAUAUCUCCUGAGAUAAGAUUUUUAUCAAUGUAAAGGAUUACCGUCCUUUUCUCACUUGAUGAAUUACAAAGUAAUUCAAAAAGAGAUCCCGAAAAUGAAUUAUUUGAUAACAUUAGAAAUGGUAAAGUUGGGAAGACUCUUGGCAAUGGGCCUAUGAAUCAGUUUGAACUCAAAUCAACAGUGUCUCCCACAUUCAAAUAUGGAAUCUCUCCUCUAAGUUGAUUCGAGGAAAGGUUUAAACAGUCAAAUUGAGUGGGAAGGUUCAAAAACCAAGUGGGCAUAACAUCUGAAAUUCCUGCAUAGGAGAUAUCCAAAGAAGACAAUUUCUUUUGGAAUUUUAGCCACUGGGGAAACUUUGGGCCAAGAUGCCAGUGACCCAAUUCGAUACUUUCACAUUGAAAUGGGGGAAUCCAGCUUGAGUUUGGUUCAAAUCUAAGCCGAUUGUGUGAUGCUGCUAGAGUUGUCAAUCUCGUGAGAUUAGAAAAAUGGGUUUCUGAUACAACUCCUUCUAAUAGAUUAUACCCACAAUUCAGAGUUUCCAAACUUUCUAGUCGUCCAAAAGAUAGAGGAAAAGUACCAUUUAAUUGAUUUUCUGAAACAUAUAAUACCUCCAAAGAUGAUAACUGCCCUAUAGACAAGGGAAUUUGGCCGCUUAACUGAUUUUUCGAAACAUCAAACAACUUCAAAGAUGAUAACUCCCCUAUAGACAAUGGAAUUUGACCAUUUAAUUGAUUUUCUGAAACAUCAAACUCCUCCAAAGAUGACAACUGCCCUAUAGACAAGGGAAUUUGGCCGUUUAAUUGAUUUACUGAAACAUCAAGCUGAGUAACAGAGCUCAAGUUUCCAAUGGCACUCGAGAUUGUUCCUUGUAACUGGUUUUGGCCAAGACUAAGGAACUGAAGACGGUUUAAACUAUACAAGGAAUUGGGUAUGGACGAAUUGAGAUUAUUCAAACUAAGAUCAAGAACUUCAAGAAACGAGGUGUUCCCAAAGUAAUCUGGAAUUGGGCCUUCCAAAGAAUUGCCACUAAGAUCAAUGGACACAAGACCAUGAAGACUAAAUAUCCACUUAGGUACUGAAGAAAAGCGGUUGAAAGAAAGAUCAAGAACAACCAGUGAUUUUGAAGAAUUAAUACUGUUGAAAGAUGGAUCAUCUUCUAAACCACAACCUAACAAGUGCAACUCUAACAAAGAGUGAAGUUUGAAUGUUACCUGUACCCAAUCAGUUGCUUUAGAAAGAUUCGCAGAGCUCAAAUCAAGGUACUGCAAGGAAGAAAGCCCAGAAACCCAUUGAAGACUUUUUGGUUCGAGAUCAUUACCUUCAAGAUCAAGAUACUGCAACUUUGAGAGAUUCCCAAGGUUAUGAGGAAUUGCUCCCAGAAAUCGUGCUCCAGAGAGGUUAAGAUAUGUUAAACUCUCCAGCAAACCGAAAAAUUUCGGGAUAUGUAUGCUGCUAAAAUUGUUAUUGCUCAAGUCCAGGGAACUGAGAUGCUUCAACUCCAGCAGUGAAGGAUUUAUUUUGCCUCCUAGCAGGGAAUUGUAGGAAGCUUCCCAUUCAGCAUUUGUUGCAAAGUCAUCAGGCUCUGAAAGAGGAGCGGCCAGGUGCAGUUGGUUGACGUGGCCUGUUGAGUUAUGGCAGACGACACCAGUCCAUUCACAGCAAUCCCCACCUUCAACCCAUGACGAUAGCCUGUUUGAAGGAUCAAUAAGAUGAUUCUUGAAUUUCAAAAGAGCUUCUCUCUCACUCUGAAUGCAAAGUAGGUUGGAAUUGGCAUGAGAAAUGGUAAAACAGAUAGCGGGAAUGAGAAGAAGAAAAGGGAAAAAGGAAAUAGGAAGAGG